UACGUAGGGUGCGAGCGUUAAUCGGAAUUACUGGGCGUAAAGCGUGCGCAGGCGGUUUUGUAAGCCAGAUGUGAAAUCCCCGGGCUUAACCUGGGAAUGGCAUUUGGGACUGCAAGGCUUGAGUGCGGCAGAGGAGACUGGAAUUCCUGGUGUAGCAGUGAAAUGCGUAGAUAUCAGGAGGAACACCGAUGGCGAAGGCAGGUCUCUGGGCUGACACUGACGCUCACGCACGAAAGCGUGGGGAGCAAACAGG
rnacentral:rRNA from 1 species